rnacentral:tRNA from 1 species
GCCGAUGUAGCUCAGGGGUAGAGCAGCUCUUUCGUAAAGAGCAGGUCGUAGGUUCGAAUCCCAUCAUCGGCU